rnacentral:lncRNA from 13 species
UUUCCGCUCCCGCUCCGGGUUUUCCAUCCGGGGCUUUCGUGUCUGUUCCAGGUUUUCCAUUCCCGCUCCGGGUUUUCCAUCCGGGACUUUCGUUUCUGUUCCAGGUUUUCCGCUCCCGCUCCGGGUUUUCCAUCCGGGGCUUUCGUGUCUGUUCCAGGUUUUCCGCUCCCGCUCCGGGUUCUCCAUCCGGGGCUUUCAUCUCUGUUCCAGGUUUUCCGCUCCCGCUCCGGGUUCUCCAUCCGGGGCUUUCGUUUCCGCUGAUGUGAAUAUGGACGAAUCGUACGUGUGCCGUGACCUUCCAAAUACCCUGAGAAAUACACUCAAGUCAGCAAAGCAUCUUCCAAACACCACUGAAUUCAGAAACGAACCGAGACCUGUACCCGAGGAACGUGCUGAACCUCGUGCUCGUUACUGGCGACUGCGGCAUGUUCCAUCAGAACGCUGAGCAAACCCGUGAGUUCCGGGGCCUGCGGAGGCAGCUGAGAACUGAGGAACCGUUUUCCAAAAGUGCGGCUCUUGAAUUGUUUCUCACAUUGACCAAGCCGUGGGUCCUUUGUGUUGUGAGAUGGUGCCGGCAUUUCAGAAAAGUCGCAGAGUUAUUUGUUCAUAAGUCACCAAAUACCAGUAUUCUGAACACAGGAUAUGGAAUUGAAGCUAUCAGAAUAUUUAAUCAAUCAGAUGAGCACCAUAACCUCUUAACAAUCACUCAACUUUCAGUUAUCCCUUGUGACAAUUUAAAUUUCCUAAAAUUAUGAAUACUUAUGUGAUUAUCCUUAUUGCUUACAUCAAGGAAGGUUUUAUUUCUAUGAAACACCCACCUUCAACAUUACACUGUAAAGAAAAAUUGUACUAAAACUUAGAAGAUUUCUACACAAAUGCAAAGAAUUCAGAUCCGGGAUUCCAUCUUUUAUUGUAACGCAUACUUGAUCUGGUGAUAUUCUGAAUGUGAUGUGGACUGACAGGUCGUUUAGAAACUGCCAGAACCAGGGACUCUCCACACUUCAUGGAGCAGCUGAAAGGGGCUUGAGCACGGCUUGGGCCUUCUGACGCCAGAGUCAUCACGGAUGUUCGGGACCCCUCGGCCCCUGGUGCAGACCGCCUGGGGCUGGAUGCUGUUUAUGUGAGUUGGGCUGAUGGCUGAGAC